AAAAUUUUGUCUACCUCCAAGUCCACUAAAUAUGAGUGAUGUGGGUUAGAUAGACAUCUCAUCAUCUUGUUCACCAAGAUAGCAGGCUUUUGUAAUACAAAAUCUUGCUGAAAUCCAUAUGUGCUAUAACUAUGGCAUUAUCCUUUCACAUUAUUUUAGUCACCAAGUCUAGGAAAAAACUGUGGAUUUUCAUAGGAUCAUAGUCUCAUAGAGAGAAAACAGUAAAGAUGUGAGAAAUCAUGUAGUCAGACUUUCUCAUUUUACAAAUAACAGUUUUGUCAUUAUUGGUCUUAAUGAGCUCAUGCUUGCUCAUAGUGGGCGUCAUUCCUUCUAAGUGUUUACAAACCAUCCAUUUAAUCAUCCUUUGAUAAUGUUUACCAGGUUUCUACAUUAAGAUCAUUGGUCUAAUGUACAAAGUAAUCACGUUCUUCUCCUUUUGAAAAUUAAGACUAUAUUUAUCUGCCUUUCAUUCUACAGACCCUCUCUAAAGCAUCACUCUCCAUGAAUCUACAAAGAUGGUUCCACAAUCAAACCUAAGAAAAAAGGAUGAGAAUUGAAUAAAACCAAAAGGAAACCUUCUGACUUUAUGAUCAAAAAGAAGGAGGAGCCAGAUGUGACAGAGACCCAGGAACCACAUAGAGUUCACUAUAUUAUCCCAAAUGAUAGCCUUGAUGCAUUCAGUCAUGAGACAUGCUGUGCACUGGAAAAGACCAAGACAAAAAAGACCAGAAUAGGACCAGCUAUAAACUCAUCACAUGCUACUCUGGAAAAGAUUCAGUUCAAAUUAAAAUCUACGGAGAAUAUUCUAGCCAGAGAAAUGGAAAGCAAUGGCUGUCAAGAAUAGGAGAGGAUUCAGCAAGCUAUGGAAAUUUGAGAAUAUCGCUGUAUCAAUUUGAAGAGUUUUCAGCAGUCUUCUUUCCAUUUACCACAGUAAAGACACAGCUUUUGUUUCCAGUGUAACCUCCAGACAGUGAGCUGGCUCUGGCAAUGCAUAUAUCAGCUUCAUCAUCUAUGUGGACAUCUCUGGAAAGUAUACUGCCAAGGAAAGACUAGUAGCCCUGUGUGACAGCUUGCUCAACCUUUCUCAGAGCUGUUUGCCUCCAUCUGCUACCCAGGUCUCACCUGUGGCUCCAAGAAGGUUUGAACUUCAAAGUUUCUGUGCAGCACUCAUCUAUACAUCAUGAAAUGCUUGGAAGUCCUCUAUUGUCUUACAAAUUCAUUUUUUCCCAGUUGAAUUAGUUUUUUCAGUAAACUUAUGAAAACCAUG